rnacentral:ribozyme from 1 species
AUACGUGUGUACUUGUGCAUGUGCGUUUGUCGUUACUUUUUCUUGUCUUUGUUAUGGUUCUUCUUUCUUUUGUCAUGGUUCAACAACUACGUUCAC